CGCGCGCGCGCGCGUGUGUGUGUGUUUGUCAGUGUGUGUGCCAUAGUGUUGGAUUAACCCCGGUGCCAAGCAGGGAGACGUUCCGGAUGUGGACCGCGCGGCUCGAAAAGGAUUCCCCAGUGGGGUGGCGGUUGCCUGUUGCACCGCGGAUUCCGUCAAGAGACACCCCCGUCCGUCCCUCCCGGCCGCUCGGAUAAAAGACACGCCAGCCUGUCGCUUGGAAUGCCGGCUGGGUCGCUGCAGGCGCGUCUUGUUGACACCCGCUGGGACCGGCAGGGACCGGCACGGCCAUCGCGGCAUCUAUUGGGAAUGCCGCAGUGAUGUCGUCGUGGCUGGGCACGGCGGUGGGGGCGGCGCUGGCCGCGGUGCCGCUGUGCUGGACGCUGCUGGUGC